rnacentral:rRNA from 1 species
GGGUGCGAUCAUACCAGCACUAACGCAUCAGAUCCCAUCAGAACUUCGCAGUAAAGCGUGCUCGGGAGAGAGUAGUACUAGGAUGGGUGACCUCAUCGGAGGUCCACUUGUUACACCGC